CCACACGACUCUCGGCAACGGAUAUCUCGGCUCUCGCAUCGAUGAAGAACGUAGCAAAAUGCGAUACCUGGUGUGAAUUGCAGAAUCCCGCGAACCAUCGAGUUUUUGAACGCAAGUUGCGCCCGAGGCCUUUUGGUCGAGGGCACGUCUGCCUGGGCGUCACGC
rnacentral:rRNA from 1 species